UCCAAAUUAUUAGUGAGACUCUGUUGUUAGCGCCGGCGGCUGGUGUAGUAUUGGUGCAGUUCACACUGGUCACCGCUAGAUGUCAGUAAAGCAGUGCUCGACGUGUCACUGAAGAGUCGUGCUCACAGAUUUGAACACCUGAACCUGCUGCACCUGAAGCCUGCUCGUGAUCUCCCGGCUUCACGACGCAGCCAGUCGCUGUGUAUACAAGGAACUACCACUGGUGUGUGAUCUUGAACUUUAUGCGACUGUGAUGUCCUCACAAGGAGCAAAAUGCACAUAAACACAACAUCAAAGUCAGCAGCAGCUGCACGGAGGGAAUGUUGAAGCGAAAUGAUCUGUCAUCCCUACAGGAAGGCUGCGUGUCCACUCCAGAGACCUGUCCUUACAGGACCAGCUCCCUCUUCUGCUGCUUUGUAAUGGAAAAGGACACCGUGCUGACUUUUGGGACCUGGAAUGCAAAGACAACAUCAGCAGAGUGAAAUACUCAGCAGGGAGGAGGCUUUUACGGACAAGUUCUCCCAACAUGACUGGAGUUAUAGGAAAACACCACCACCCAGUGGACAAAGACAGGAAUUACAAAAAAAUUACUGAAUUUCUGAACACUAAAAAAAUUAUGUUAGCAGAUGAUGUGUGUGAUGAGGGACAGCAGUCCAGCACUUCAGUGGGAAUAUGUUUAAAACAUAUUAUUUUUUAUUUUGCAUAAUAAACAGUAUGAACCUGUUCAUUUUGUUUUCUUAGUGCUAUCAUCACCAACAUGUACUUGAGGUUAUUACACCGCAGACCAGGACAUAAUCACUAUCCCCGUUUUUUAGAAAUAUGAUUUUCAA